rnacentral:lncRNA from 1 species
GGUCAUAUCCUGCCCCAAGCCCCGCCUCUGGGCCUUUGUAUUUGCCAUUCCGUGGGCAAGGCUGGUUCCUCCUCAUUCCGGUCUCAGACCCAAAGUCCCGUCCCAGGAAGAGGCCUUCCCUGAUCUCUCUAGCUAAAGGGGCAACUCCCACCUCCCAAGUUAUCACCCUGCUUCAUUUUCUCCACAGAACUACCCUGAAGUCAUCUUGUUUGUUUCUGUCUUUUACCUAUCAUGAAAAUGUCCGGUCCACGAGAACAGGGACCUGCACGCCCCGCCACCAGCAAGAGGUGCUAAUCCAGCUGAGGCCAGGAACCCGAGGCUGCACAGCCUCCCGAUGUAAAUAUGAACAGAAGCCAGUGGGAGAACAAGAGCCACACCCUGGAGUCCCACCUAGGUCCUGCCCAGCUCCUCGCAUCCUCCACCCUAAGGCAUCACAGACCCCAGAUCUGAAGAUGUCCUCAGCAACUGGGCUAGGCUCUCUGGGGGAGUCUGAAACCCUCCCACCUCAAAAAGCUUCCCAUUUCUUUGAAUGACAAGAGAGUCUGGGCCACGACUGUCAAGGAAUACCUCCAGGCAACGCCUGUACAUCCCGUGGGGAGAGAUGCAUGCAUCCUGGGAGAGGAGACAUCUCUUCUUUCUAGAGACUGAGCAGACGACAGAGGCUUUUUCUAAAGGAGGGUGCUGCUAAAACCCACCAACUGCCCCAGGAUCCGUCUGUAGGACAGAAACAGGUACAGGGCCAGAGACGGAUGCCCUGUAGCAAAGUCAGCCCAGGGCCUGGCUGUUCAUGAAUAAGGGCUUCUGAAGAGACCACAGUUGUACCACAAGGUACAAGAGACCACAAGGGCUUCUGAAGAGACCAGUUGUACUUAGCUGAAGGUGAGAAAACAAACUUGGUAUUAGAUUGAGGGCCAACUCAGGAAGUAGUUUCAGUGCACCAGCUGUUAAUUUAUGUGAGUACAUCUAUACUUGUGUGGCUUUAUCAUCACCAACAAACAGCAAAUGUGUCCUGGCACCUGCUAUGUGCCAGGCCCAGCGCUAGGUAUUUUACAGACAUUAUCUCCUUUAAUUCUCCAAAGAGCCAUAAGCUGUGGCUAUCCAUGCUACAUUUUACUAAAAAUGAAGCAGAAGCACAGAAAGGUUGGAAAAGUUGCCCAAGCUCACAUCGCUAGUUACUGGUGGGAGCUGGGAUUCUAGGACCCUCAACAAUCUGGCCCCAGCCUGUCCCUCGGGUCUGAGCUGCCAGUGUUCAACACUUCAGAGCCUCUGCUCGCUGUUCCUGCCCCUCAAGCUCCCCACUCACCUAGUUUUGAGCUGUGUGGGUGGUUAAUGUAUGUCAUCAGCCCACAGCCUCCCUACUCCCUUCCUCCUCACCACCUAUUCAGUUCCCCCAGCUCAGAUCCCCUUCUCCCUCCAGACCAGCCAGGCAGACUCCUACCCAUCUGGCUACCUCUGCCCCACUACCAGCCUGGUCGCAUCACCUCCGCCUGCCAGGCCCCCAACCAGUGUCUUAUGGUGAUGACUUUGGCUGGCAGAGAAUCCUGGAACCUUUUCUCCACAGUGAUGUUGACACAUGUUCACUCCAAAAAUGUAAUGUUUCCAUCAAAACAUUUAGUGGGAGUAAAUUCCCACCCAUGCGACAUCUCUAAAAAAUAUAGAGUAAAUUUACUCGAACAAGCAGUGAGACAUGGUCAGCAUUUUUCUUUCUUGGUUGUCACAGUGCCAAGUACUAGGCAACACCCAGCAUAGUGUGCCAGGGGCUGAAUGCUACCAAGAGGCAACGGAAAGAGGACGGUUACAGUUUAUGAGCCUGUGACUGCUGGUUCUAUUGUACAAGACGCCGGGAUCAACCUGGGCAGUCCCCUCAGCCCUGGCCCCCCAGAGAGUCCAGUGCCACUCUGGGCUCCCACCAGAGCCAUUUCUGUGUCUGUGGCUAGGUCACUUGCUGCUUAGUCCCCAAGUCCUGCGUCCACCCCACCAGAGUAGGGCCCAGCCAUCACCACACCAUGUCUACACGAGGUCCGAGGCCUAAGUUCACAUGCAUGCUUCCUGAAAGGUCAGGGAACUCAAGCCUCCCUAAACACUCCCCAACCCUGAGAUCAGCAAUAAUAUCGUGGGGUAGUGCAGGGAGAUCCUGCUCUACACCCAGACCCCAAAAGAAGAGAUCUAAUGCCAGGUAC